AUUGAACGCUGGCGGCAUGCUUUACACAUGCAAGCCGAACGGCAGCGCGGGCUUCGGCCUGGCGGCGAGUGGCGAACGGGUGAGUAAUGCAUCGGAACGUGCCCAGUAGUGGGGGAUAGCCCGGCGAAAGCCGGAUUAAUACCGCAUACGACCUGCGGGUGAAAGCGGGGGACCGAAAGGCCUCGCGCUAUUGGAGCGGCCGAUGUCGGAUUAGCUAGUUGGUGGGGUAAAGGCUUACCAAGGCGACGAUCCGUAGGUGGUCUGAGAGGACGACCAGCCACACUGGGACUGAGACACGGCCCAGACUCCUACGGGAGGCAGCAGUGGGGAAUUUUGGACAAUGGGGGCAACCCUGAUCCAGCCAUGCCGCGUGCGGGAAGAAGGCCUCCGGGUUGUAAACCGCUUUUGUUCGGGAAGAAAUCCUCUGGGCUAAUACCCCGGGGGGAUGACGGUACCGGAAGAAUAAGCACCGGCUAACUACGUG
rnacentral:rRNA from 1 species